rnacentral:rRNA from 1 species
CUCCUACGGGAGGCAGCAGUGAGGAAUAUUGGUCAAUGGGCGCGAGCCUGAACCAGCCAAGUCGCGUGAGGGAAGACGGUCCUAUGGAUUGUAAACCUCUUUUGUCGGGGAGCAAAAAACGCCACGCGUGGCGUUCCGAGAGUACCCGAAGAAAAAGCAUCGGCUAACUCCGCGCCAGCAGCCGCGGUAAUACGGAGGGCGCGAGCGUUAAUCGGAAUUACUGGGCGUAAAGCGCGCGUAGGCUGUUGUGUAAGUUGGGGGUGAAAUCCCACGGCUCAACCGUGGAACAGCCCUUGAUACUGCGC